rnacentral:misc_RNA from 1 species
AAUUCUCAACCUUGCUCGCUUUUACUAGCUUGAGUUUGGCUUGGAUGUGAGGGUUUUGCUGGCUUCCUUCAGUGGAUGGUCUGCUCCCUUUAAAUGCAUUAGUGGGAUCUCUUGUGGACCGUCACUUGGUGCGAUAAUUAUCUAUGCCUUGGGACUUUGAAGCAAACUUUAUGGGAACCUGCUUAUAACCGUCUUCGGACAAUCUCUGACA